rnacentral:lncRNA from 1 species
CCGGAAGAUCUGUAGAGUUUAUCACUCAGCUGCUUGCUAUUGAUCUCUGCUUGCUUCUGUACUGGAGAGUCAGUCACUGGAGUAAAUUUGAUCUGAUCAGGAUGCUUUUUGUAGGUGUGAUCUUUACACUGCUCUAACUUCUUAAUAGCUUCAUAUUCUUGAGUUAUGGUCUGAGGGAAGUAGCAUUUUGUCUUCUCCUCCUCAUAAUCCGCUUUGUAAUUUUUAUCACUCUUCAUAGCCUCGACUUUCAUACAGUGUAUCUGAUGUGGGUCCUCAAAACUGCCCAAAUAGUGUCCCAAAAUAUUCUUUUGAUAAGCAUCUUUGUACUUCACAUCACUAAAAUUCUUGAGAGCAUUAUCCGUCUGGAACUUAGGUGUUUCACAGUAGUUCAUGCUUGUUCCUUUUGAUCGCUCAUAGGCUUCUUUGUAUAAUUUGUCACUCAGUACAUCUCCUGC